UAAAACUUUCAACAACGGAUCUCUUGGUCUGGCAUCGAUGAAGAACGCAGCGAAAUGCGAUAAGUAAUGUGAAUUGCAGAAUUCAGUGAACCAUCGAAUCUUUGAACGCACAUUGCGCCCUCUGGUAUUCCAGAGGGCAUGCCUGUUCGAGCGUCAUUU
rnacentral:rRNA from 1 species